rnacentral:rRNA from 1 species
UGAAGACGACAAGGUAGAUAGGACAGAGGUGGAAGUGUGGUAACACAUGCAGCUGACUGUUACUAAUAGGUCGAGGGCUUGACCUAA